rnacentral:rRNA from 1 species
AUAACCUUAUUGUAUGCCUGAAUACUAUGAUCGCAAGAUUGAAACUCAAAAGGCUUGGCUGUUCACUGUUUGAAUCAGAGGAGCGUGUAAUUUAAUACGAUGAUCCGCGUGUCACCUUACCUUUCCUUGAAAGCGGGCCACCUGUCGGUGGUAGCCGCUCAGGCAUUGCAUGGCCGUCGUCAGGAUAACAAUAAAUGUUAUCCUUAACCCUAUUAUGGAUUAAGUCAGGUGUCAUGGUCUUUAUGGAAAGGGAUAUUAUGCGCUACAUUCUCCUACACAAUAUAUAUAUAUAGUAAAUUAGGAGGCGGAGAUUCUCUGAAAUGGGAAUCUUAAGUAAGAUUUGAUAGUAAUCGGGAAGUAGAGCGUUCCGGUGAAUUCUAACCCAGUGUUAGCACAAAUCGCCCGUCGUCCCCUUCAAGUUAAAGAUACGAGACGCCCCGUCAAAGGCGGGGUUAUCCCUCCUUUUCGAGAAUGGGUAAGUCGUAACAUAGUAGGGGUAAGGGAACUUGUUCUUG